ACGAGCGCUGGCGGCGUGCUUCACACAUGCCAGUCGCACGGAAAGGCCCUGCUUUUGUGGGGUGCUCGAGUGGCGAACGGGUGAGUAACACGUGAGUAACCUGCCCUUGACUUUGGGAUAACUUCAGGAAACUGGGGCUAAUACCGGAUAGGAGCUCCUGCUGCAUGGUGGGGGUUGGAAAGUUUCGGCGGUUGGGGAUGGACUCGCGGCUUAUCAGCUUGUUGGUGGGGUAGUGGCUUACCAAGGCUUUGACGGGUAGCCGGCCUGAAAGGGUGACCGGCCACAUUGGGACUGAGAUACGGCCCAGACUCCUACGGGAGGCAGCAGUGGGGAAUAUUGCACAAUGGGCGGAAGCCUGAUGCAGCAACGCCGCGUGCGGGAUGACGGCCUUCGGGUUGUAAACCGCUUUCGCCUGUGACGAAGCGUGAGUGACGGUAAUGGGUAAAGAAGCACCGGCUAACUACGUG
rnacentral:rRNA from 1 species